UACGUAGGUGACAAGCGUUGUCCGGAUUUACUGGGCGUAAAGAGCGCGCAGGCGGUCGAUCAAGUCGAGUGUGAAAGCCCCCGGCUCAACUGGGGAGGGUCACGCGAUACUGCUCGACUUGAAGGCAGGAGAGGGAAGUGGAAUUCCCGGUGUAGUGGUGAAAUGCGUAGAUAUCGGGAGGAACACCAGUGGCGAAGGCGACUUUCUGGCCUGUUCUUGACGCUGAGGCGCGAAAGCUAGGGGAGCAAACGGG
rnacentral:rRNA from 1 species